rnacentral:rRNA from 1 species
AGAGCGAACGCUGGCGGCAGGCCUAACACAUGCAAGUCGAGCGCCCCGCAAGGGGAGCGGCAGACGGGAGAGUAACACGUGGGAACGUACCCUUCAGUUCGGAACAACCCAGGGAAACUUGGGCUAAUACCGAAUACGUCCGUAAGGAGAAAGAUUUAUCGCUGAAGGAUCGGCCCGCGUCUGAUUAGCUUGUUGGUGAGGUAACGGCUCACCAAGGCUACGAUCAGUAGCUGGUCUGAGAGGAUGAUCAGCCUCAUUGGGACUGAGACACGGCCCAAACUCCUACGGGAGGCAGCAGUGGGGAAUAUUGGACAAUGGGCGCAAGCCUGAUCCAGCCAUGCCGCGUGGAUGAUGAAGGCCUUAGGGUUGUAAAAUCCUUUCGGCGGGGAAGAUAAUGACGGUACCCGCAGAAGAAGCCCCGGCUAACUUCGCGCCAGCAGCCGC